CGCUACCUGGCGCUGCCUCUGCGCUGGGUCCCCGCAUCCAGCACUGGCCGCAGGGACAGCGGCCCCUCCUCUCCCCCGGCCGGUGUCAAGUGCCUCCCCCCUGGCAGCCCGCGGAGCCCCCGGCGGCCUUCGCCCUGCAGUUCUCCCGACCUCCACCAGAGCCCACUGCACUCUGCCUGCCUCAGCACUGGGGCUGGGGACAGCAGCGCCGGCCCAUCCUCGCUGCAACCCCACGCCACCCGCCACCCCCUCCAGGUGCCGCCGCCGAGUGGAGGCCAGCCCACUCAAGAGGGCCAAGGUCGGGGCGCCAGGCCCAUUCAGGCGUCUUGGAGACCCAAGCACCCCUAUGGGAUGAGCCCCCUUUAAGGUAGUGAGUUCCCCGUACCUUGAGGUGUCCAAGUGGAGUUGAGUGCCCUCAGUUGGUCAGUGGAAGACUGAAAGACUUCAGGAGUGGGAGGUGGAACUAAAUGACAUUGAAAAUCCCUUCCAGCUCUAAGAUUCUGUGCACACCUACACUCCACCCUCGUGCUUACUCACCCCUUUACCGUGGGGGUUGUUCUCAUUUCCCAUAGAGUUUCCAGGGCUCCAGGUUUCUGACUUGGGGCAUCUCUGUCUCCUUCCAUCAGCACAGUCAUCCUCUGCUCAUCACUCUCCCAACUGCUACCUCUAGGGGCUUGGCGCUGCCCCCCCCCAACUCCUGACUCCCCAGUCUGGCUCCCCCUUCUGCCUUUGUGUCUACCAGUCAUCCCCCACUGUGUACCCCCAUCCCACCUAGUGCCUCAACUAUGUGGCAGUGCCCUGAGCUCCCUGCCCAGGACAUGGUGUGCUUCCUUCUCCAGGCACCCCCCAUCCCACUUGUGGGCACCCAGGCCCUCACUGCUGAAACCAGUCCUACUUUCCCCUCUGCCCCCAGCAACGUCAACCCUUCAAGGGUCGCAGGAACUAAGUUACCUAACUCUUUGGAACACGGAGUUGACCUUUCAUCUAAGAGAUUCUCCUUUCGGAAGCGCUCCAAUGCUUCUGGGUCCGUCAGUCUGCCACUCCCCAUGCCUCAAGGUCACAGGCCACUCUCCACACAGUUGUCUGGCCUUUUUCAGUGUCAACCUCAGUCAAGUGGCCACCCCAUGCCACUAAUGUCAGACCCUGCUAUCCAUGGUCUCCCCCUUGCCAGUUUCAGACACUUGCGAUAUUCUUCCCAAGAGGACAGAGACAGCCUCUGUCAUCUCUAUAGCCCAGCACUUGGCACAUAG
rnacentral:lncRNA from 1 species